UACGUAGGGUGCGAGCGUUGCCCGGAUUUAUUGGGCGUAAAGGGUGCGUAGGCGGCGUGGUAAGUCUGAUGUGAAAUCCCGGAGCUCAACUCCGGAACUGCAUUGGAUACUGCCAUGCUUGAGUACUGGAGAGGGAACUGGAAUUUACGGUGUAGCAGUGAAAUGCGUAGAGAUCGUAAGGAAGGCCAGUGGCGAAGGCGAGUUCCUGGACAGUAACUGACGCUGAGGCACGAAGGCCAGGGGAGCAAACGGG
rnacentral:rRNA from 1 species